rnacentral:rRNA from 1 species
AUUGAACGCUGGCGGCAUGCCUUACACAUGCAAGUCGAACGGCAGCACGGGAGCAAUCCUGGUGGCGAGUGGCGAACGGGUGAGUAAUGUAUCGGAACGUACCUUUCAGUGGGGGAUAACGUAGCGAAAGUUACGCUAAUACCGCAUAUUCUGUGAGCAGGAAAGCAGGGGAUCGCAAGACCUUGCGCUGAUUGAGCGGCCGAUAUCAGAUUAGCUAGUUGGUGAGGUAAAGGCUCACCAAGGCGACGAUCUGUAGCGGGUCUGAGAGGAUGAUCCGCCACACUGGAACUGAGACACGGUCCAGACUCCUACGGGAGGCAGCAGUGGGGAAUUUUGGACAAUGGGCGCAAGCCUGAUCCAGCCAUGCCGCGUGAGUGAAGAAGGCCUUCGAG